rnacentral:rRNA from 1 species
GACGAACGCUGGCGGCGUGCUUAACACAUGCAAGUCGAACGGAAAGGCCCUGCUUGCAGGGUACUCGAGUGGCGAACGGGUGAGUAACACGUGGGUGAUCUGCCCUGCACUUCGGGAUAAGCCUGGGAAACUGGGUCUAAUACCGGAUAGGAGCCAUUUUUAGUGUGAUGGUUGGAAAGUUUUUUCGGUGUAGGAUGAGCUCGCGGCCUAUCAGCUUGUUGGUGGGGUAAUGGCCUACCAAGGCGGCGACGGGUAGCCGGCCUGGGGGGGUGGACGGCCACAUUUGGACUGGGAAUCGGCCCAGAACCCUACCGGGGGCAGCAGGUGGGAAUAUUGCACAAUGGGGGCAAGCCUGAUGCCGCGAAGCCGCGUGGGGGAUGACGGGCUUCGGGUUGUAAACUCCUUUCGCUAGGGACGAAGCUUUUUGUGACGGUACCUAGAUAAGAAGCACCGGCUAACUACGUG